rnacentral:rRNA from 1 species
GAGUUUGAUCAUGGCUCAGAUUGAACGCUGGCGGCAGGCCUAACACAUGCAUGUCGAGCGGAUGACGGGAGCUUGCUCCUUGAUUCAGCGGCGGACGGGUGAGUAGUGCCUGGGAAUCUGCCUGGUAGUGGGGGACAACGUUUCGAAAGGAACGCUAAUACCGCAUACGUCCUACGGGAGAAAGCAGGGGACCUUCGGGCCUUGCGCUAUCAGAUGAGCCUAGGUCGGAUUAGCUAGUUGGUGGGGUAAUGGCUCACCAAGGCGACGAUCCGUAACUGGUCUGAGAGGAUGAUCAGUCACACUGGAACUGAGACACGGUCCAGACUCCUACGGGAGGCAGCAGUGGGGAAUAUUGGACAAUGGGCGAAAGCCUGAUCCAGCCAUGCCGCGUGUGUGAAGAAGGUCUUCGGAUUGUAAAGCACUUUAAGUUGGGAGGAAGGGCAGUAAGUUAAUACCUUGCUGUUUGACGUUACCGACAGAAUAAGCACCGGCUAACUCUGUGCCA